rnacentral:lncRNA from 10 species
GCUGCUGGGAGUUGUAGUCCGGCCGUGGUUGGGGGAGCCGCGGCUCAUGCGCGGUGCACAGAGGCUUGUUUCACAUCUGUAACAACAGGAGGAGGCCCAGCCUCGUGAUGAGGAAUAGCAAGGAGAGAAUUCAGCUCCAGUUCAAAAGCCUACAAAAUCUGAGACUGUCAUUGCUUUUAUAAGGAUUCCAGCUUUCCCUCCUGGCCAGAAAUGUUCAGCCUGGACUCAUUCAGAAAAGAUCGGGCCCAGCACAGGCAGCGUCAGUGCAAACUUCCCCCACCCCGCCUUCCACCCAUGUGUGUCAACCCUACCCCAGGAGGGACCAUCUCUCGAGGCUGAACGUUAACAUUUCCAACAUGGCAGCCUCAUUCCAUCUUCCUGCCUUCCAUCCACACGACUGCUGGUUUAGAUUUGCUGGAGAGUGAGCUCUGCAGGGUCCUAGCCCUGGGCAGCGCCGAGCCCGCCUACUGAAGGCCCAGGGCUGUGGUGAGCGAGGACGGGCUGCUGAUGCCCUCGCCUAGGCUUGGGCUUCGGGUCCGCCCGGCCCGCAGGGGGCGCGCGGCGCUCGGGCCGGCCGCUCCCGUUCUCUUCGCCCGGUCCC